CUCAUGACGAACGCUGGCGGCGUGCCUAAUACAUGCAAGUAGAACGCUGAAGAGAGGAGCUUGCUCUUCUUGGAUGAGUUGCGAACGGGUGAGUAACGCGUAGGUAACCUGCCUUGUAGCGGGGGAUAACUAUUGGAAACGAUAGCUAAUACCGCAUAACAAUAGGUGACACAUGUCAUUUAUUUGAAAGGGGCAAUUGCUCCACUACAAGAUGGACCUGCGUUGUAUUAGCUAGUAGGUGAGGUAACGGCUCACCUAGGCGACGAUACAUAGCCGACCUGAGAGGGUGAUCGGCCACACUGGGACUGAGACACGGCCCAGACUCCUACGGGAGGCAGCAGUAGGGAAUCUUCGGCAAUGGGGGCAACCCUGACCGAGCAACGCCGCGUGAGUGAAGAAGGUUUUCGGAUCGUAAAGCUCUGUUGUAAGUCAAGAACGAGUGUGAGAGUGGAAAGUUCACACUGUGACGGUAGCUUACCAGAAAGGGACGGCUAACUACGUGCCAGCAGCCGCGGUAAUACGUAGGUCCCGAGCGUUGUCCGGAUUUAUUGGGCGUAAAGCGAGCGCAGGCGGUUUGAUAAGUCUGAAGUUAAAGGCUGUGGCUCAACCAUAGUUCGCUUUGGAAACUGUCAAACUUGAGUGCAGAAGGGGAGAGUGGAAUUCCAUGUGUAGCGGUGAAAUGCGUAGAUAUAUGGAGGAACACCGGUGGCGAAAGCGGCUCUCUGGUCUGUAACUGACGCUGAGGCUCGAAAGCGUGGGGAGCGAACAGGAUUAGAUACCCUGGUAGUCCACGCCGUAAACGAUGAGUGCUAGGUGUUGGAUCCUUUCCGGGAUUCAGUGCCGCGGCUAACGCAUUAAGCACUCCGCCUGGGGAGUACGACCGCAAGGUUGAAACUCAAAGGAAUUGACGGGGGCCCGCACAAGCGGUGGAGCAUGUGGUUUAAUUCGAAGCAACGCGAAGAACCUUACCAGGUCUUGACAUCCCGAUGCUAUUUCUAGAGAUAGAAAGUUACUUCGGUACAUCGGUGACAGGUGGUGCAUGGUUGUCGUCAGCUCGUGUCGUGAGAUGUUGGGUUAAGUCCCGCAACGAGCGCAACCCCUAUUGUUAGUUGCCAUCAUUCAGUUGGGCACUCUAGCGAGACUGCCGGUAAUAAACCGGAGGAAGGUGGGGAUGACGUCAAAUCAUCAUGCCCCUUAUGACCUGGGCUACACACGUGCUACAAUGGUUGGUACAACGAGUUGCGAGUCGGUGACGGCAAGCUAAUCUCUUAAAGCCAAUCUCAGUUCGGAUUGUAGGCUGCAACUCGCCUACAUGAAGUCGGAAUCGCUAGUAAUCGCGGAUCAGCACGCCGCGGUGAAUACGUUCCCGGGCCUUGUACACACCGCCCGUCACACCACGAGAGUUUGUAACACCCGAAGUCGGUGAGGUAACCUUUUGGAGCCAGCCGCCUAAGGUGGGAUA
rnacentral:rRNA from 1 species